rnacentral:rRNA from 1 species
UACAGAGGGUGCUAGCGUUGUUCGGAAUCAUUGGGCGUAAAGGGCGUGUAGGCGGUUUGUUAAGUCAGGUGUGAAAUCUCGGAGCUCAACUCCGAAACUGCACUUGAUACUGCCUUGCUCGAGUACUGGAGAGGAGAUUGGAAUUUACGGUGUAGCAGUGAAAUGCGUAGAUAUCGUAAGGAAGACCAGUGGCGAAGGCGAAUCUCUGGACAGUUACUGACACUGAGGCACGAAGGCCAGGGGAGCAAACAGG